CAGCGGAGUAGAAGCGUUCAGCGGCACGCCGCCCGGAAAUUGCUCCCGAU
rfam:Ralstonia eutropha H16 chromosome 2